GNGCAGCCUUCCCACAUCCUCUGGCACUGC
rnacentral:piRNA from 1 species